rnacentral:rRNA from 1 species
AAACAUCGCUUUUUGAAAUUAUAAAAGGUAAAACCUGCUCAAUGUAAUUAAUUUAGUAAAUAGCUGCGGUAUUUUAACUGCACAAAGGUAGCAUAAUUAAUUGUCUCUUAAAUGGGGACUUGUUUGAAAGGUAUGAUGAGAUAGGGUCUAUCUAUAUUAUUUAUUAGAAUUUACCAUAUUGGGUUAAAAGGCCUAUAUAUAGUAGAAAGAAGAGAAGACCCUGAUGAGUUUGACGAUUAAUUAUCGUUUUGAUGGGACAUUAAAAUUUAUUUUAAAUAUUUAUUUGAUCCUAUAGUAAGGAAUAAUGUCUAAAUUACCACAGGGAUAACAGGACAAAGCUUAUUGUGAGCACGAAUCUAAAUAAGAGAUUGUUACUUCGAUGUUGAAUCAAAAUUUACUUCCAUGGUGAAAAAGUUUAUAAAGUGAGUCUGUUCGACUUUUAAAAUUUUACGUGAUUUG